rnacentral:rRNA from 1 species
GCCUANGGUGUGACCACNCUGAGAACACCCCAUCUGGUCUGAUUCUCGGAAGNUAAGCAGCGUCAGGCUCAGUUAGUACUUGGAUAGGAGACCACCUGGCAAUCUUGGAUGGUGUAGGCU